CGCUGCUCUCUGGUCAUGGGCAACACAGCAGCAUCCAGUCACCUGCUAGAGAUUGUCAAUAUUAGGGUAUGUGGGCUGGACCAGACAGGCAGCUUUGUAAUCGUCACGGCUGUGGUAACAGGAGAAUGCCUUUGGCAUCUACUGCCAGAAGUGAUACAGUCCAGUCCAAGUUGAAGAACAAGUACAUAAAUUCAGUCCGCAGAUCUGUCCGACGCAUCUCUACAUCAGGGAUGCAAUAAUGCUAUUGGGGUAAAAAAACAUGGUGAUUGCAUCUGAAAUUGCACUUUGCACAUUGCAGUUGUGGUGAGUAAAUGUCCCCUUUAGUGUCUUCUAAAGAGAAACUUUAUAUCAAACCAUAAAUUCAAAAUUUCAACUUGUUCCUCAGUGAACAUAGCAACCAGAAAACAUAGUUGGCUUUCUAUUGAUAUUAUUGUUUAAUUAUUUAUCUUAUUAUUCAAGCACUCUAGUAGCAAUUAUUUUUGUUCUGAAUAAGACACAGGGGCUGGUUUACAAAAAGCCCUACAUUGUAUCAGUGUAGUUACCUACAACAACCAGAACAUGGCUUAUUUCUAGAAACAAAUUGUGAUUGGUUGCUAUGGGUGACUGAACUGGUAGUUUUACUAGAAAAUCAGUCCAACAUUGUUAAAGCAAUAAAUUGUGGCUAUAACCAGUUUCAUAUCAUUUUGAAUUGUGUAUUAGAUAUCCUGCUUGUUGCAACGUUAUUGUUGUCAUGUGGCAGUUAUAAGCAUAAAUGCCUCUAAUGAUGCAUUAAAACAGUUUUUAGGCAGUUUAUAGGUGGCUGACAUCUUUGAUGAGCUCAUCUUCUCCUGCUCCUUUUCACUAAAAAGUGAUAGAAGACUGAAGACCAUUCAAAGCAUACCAUCAUUUUCAAAGCUCAGUAAUGUGUUGAAUGGUUGAAAAUGUUUUGAAGGCAGAAUAAGGGCUGUGUCUUAAGGAAAGAUUCCUAUCUGUGGCCUGCUAUAAUAAACAUUUACAAGUU